rnacentral:rRNA from 1 species
GACAGAGGGGGGCAAGCGUUGCUCGGAAUUACUGGGCGUAAAGGGCGCGUAGGCGGGAUGGCAAGUCGGUCGUGAAAUCCCUCGGCUCAACCGAGGAACGUCGAUCGAUACUGCUGUUCUUGAGGAUUGCAGAGGAGACUGGAAUUCCCGGUGUAGCGGUGAAAUGUGUAGAGAUCGGGAGGAACACCGGUGGCGAAGGCGGGUCUCUGGGCAAUUCCUGACGCUGAGGCGCGAAAGCCGUGGGGAGCAAACGGG